CACAAGCCAGUUUGCUCUAGACUGGCUUCACCCAGAAUGAUGCUGGGAAGAUGGGUGCCUUUGUUUCCAUUCCAAAGUCGAAGAAAAUGAAGCAAGAGAUGCUAGGUGAUGGCCUUCAACUCCCCAGGGAGAGUCCAGCAUCUCCAAACCUGCAUCCCACCCCUCCUCAAAUGAAUCAUGGCUCCUGAGUGAAGCCUGCAGCCCAGGGCAUGCCCUUCGCACUCUCAUGCUUAAAACUCCCCUCUGGUAUUCCCCCCAACCCCAUUCAGACCUCCCUCAUCCUUUAUGUUCCUGCCAGCUAGAUGGCUCCUCCUCUGGUAUCUAUGCAUACCCCAAUAUUUCACUAUUGUUUCCUAUCUCCUUCCCCUGAUCUGCAUGCUCCCAGAGGGCCAACUCCAAGGCAGACCCAUUGUCACAUGAUCACAGCUUAGCACACUAAUCGUAGGGGCAAGAAGUCCAUGAUAGGAAUUGCAAUUAGAUCACAGAUAUGACAGCACUGCGUUGGACAAGCACAACUGAAACUUUUCUUACCAGUUUUCUAGUCAUCCUUUGCCUGAGACCCUGAUCCCACCCAAAUCUGGGCCCAUAAAGCCCUAAUGUUUGUUUAGCCCAAAGGGCCAUGUCAUUUC
ensembl:lincRNA Gm29926 predicted gene, 29926